CCGACAUUAAUUAUCACUCAGCUUCCAGGCUUGCUGAUUAUCAAAACUUAAUCAUAUUGUGCUCAUUUCAUUUUAUUUUAUUUAUUUUUUUAUAUCUGACUAGUUUGAAGAUAAAGGGUCUCUACCUGAACUUCCAAAAUGUAUACUGAUAUAUGAGUCAUUUACGUACAUUUAUUUAUUUUUAUCUUCUGUUUUCAUGAUUCAGUCAACAGGAAAUGAAUCUGAAACCACAGAGGAGAGUUUUGAAAUGAGAAAGUCCAUACCAAAAUCUCCAAGCCAUGGAUCUUUUGGAGUUCAUGCGAUGUACAGUCGCCGUAGCUACAAUGCCACUGUGCCCAGAUCACCCCAACACUUCCACAGGCCAGGGUUGAUGCUUUCUCCUUCUUUAUUCUCUGGCAACCAUGACUCCACCACCCCUCAAUGUCACCACUUUCUCCCCCACACCAAAGAUGUAGGUUUUCACAUGUACAGGAGGCCUCCAAUCUACAAACAGCAAGGUACAGUUUUGACUAUGUCAGUUUUCAGUUUUCACCUUUAAAACUUCAUAUGAAGGCAGCUUGAAGUUGUUAGCAGUAAGAUUGGCUAUGUCAGUUUUGUAUUUAUUUGUAGUCUCCUACUUUUUAUAGCACUGAUUUAUUCUCAUGGCCCAAUACUUAAUGUAAAACAUGGUCUGCAGAGACUCUUCUGAGGGAAAAUGAAUGAGUUUAUGUUGUGCUUCAGUUAUUGUUGCGUGUAUACAGAUGGUAAAUUCCUCUUUUUGUUUUGUCAGAUGACAGCAAAUGUUUUAAACGCGUAUUUAACAAAGGCUACUGUCAGUUAUCGUUCAACUUAACAGUCAGGCAGAAAAGAAGCCUGAUUAGAUCCCUCCAGGGACCUCACCUAUAAGGUCAACAGUUCUGAAUUACUGUUUUAUAGAAUAUGUAGAUUAAA
rnacentral:lncRNA from 1 species